GAGUUUGAACCUGGCUCAGGAUGAACGCUGGCGGCGUGCCUAAUACAUGCAAGUCGAGCGAACCACUUCGGUGGUGAGCGGCGAACGGGUGAGUAACGCGUAGGUGAUCUGCCCAUCAGACGGGGACAACGAUUGGAAACGAUCGCUAAUACCGGAUAGGACGAAAGUUUAAAGGUGCUCCUGGCACCGCUGAUGGAUGAGCCUGCGGCGCAUUAGCUAGUUGGUAGGGUAAAGGCCUACCAAGGCGACGAUGCGUAGCCGACCUGAGAGGGUGAACGGCCACACUGGGACUGAGACACGGCCCAGACUCCUACGGGAGGCAGCAGUAGGGAAUCUUCGGCAAUGGGCGAAAGCCUGACCGAGCAACGCCGCGUGAAUGAUGAAGGCCUUCGGGUUGUAAAAUUCUGUUAUAAGGGAAGAACGACUUUAGUAGGAAAUGGCUAGAGUGUGACGGUACCUUAUGAGAAAGCCACGGCUAACUACGUGCCAGCAGCCGCGGUAAUACGUAGGUGGCGAGCGUUAUCCGGAAUUAUUGGGCGUAAAGAGCGCGCAGGUGGUUGAUUAAGUCUGAUGUGAAAGCCCACGGCUUAACCGUGGAGGGUCAUUGGAAACUGGUCGACUUGAGUGCAGAAGA
rnacentral:rRNA from 1 species